UGACAAAUGGAGAGUCUUGAUUGAGGCCA
rnacentral:piRNA from 1 species